rnacentral:rRNA from 1 species
AACGAACGCUGGCGGCAGGCCUAACACAUGCAAGUCGAGCGAGGACUUCGGUUCUAGCGGCGGACGGGUGAGUAACGCGUGGGGAUGUGCCCUUCUCUACGGAAUAGCCCUGGGAAACUGGGAGUAAUACCGUAUACGCCCUAUUGGGGAAAGAUUUAUCGGAGAAGGAUCAGCCCGCGUUGGAUUAGGUAGUUGGUGGGGUAAUGGCCUACCAAGCCGACGAUCCAUAGCUGGUUUGAGAGGAUGAUCAGCCACACUGGGACUGAGACACGGCCCAGACUCCUACGGGAGGCAGCAGUGGGGAAUCUUAGACAAUGGGGGCAACCCUGAUCUAGCCAUGCCGCGUGAGUGAUGAAGGCCUUAGGGUUGUAAAGCUCUUUCAGCUGGGAAGAUAAUGACGGUACCAGCAGAAGAAGCCCCGGCUAACUCCGUG